GACGAACGCUGGCGGCGUGCUUAACACGUGCAAGUCGAACGGAAAGGCCCUGCUUUUGUGGGGUGCUCGAGUGGCGAACGGGUGAGUAACACGUGAGUAACCUGCCCUUGACUUUGGGAUAACUUCAGGAAACUGGGGCUAAUACCGGAUAGGAGCUCCUGCUGCAUGGUGGGGGUUGGAAAGUUUCGGCGGUUGGGGAUGGACUCGCGGCUUAUCAGCUUGUUGGUGGGGUAGUGGCUUACCAAGGCUUUGACGGGUAGCCGGCCUGAGAGGGUGACCGGCCACAUUGGGACUGAGAUACGGCCCAGACUCCUACGGGAGGCAGCAGUGGGGAAUAUUGCACAAUGGGCGGAAGCCUGAUGCAGCAACGCCGCGUGCGGGAUGACGGCCUUCGGGUUGUAAACCGCUUUCGCCUGUGACGAAGCGUGAGUGACGGUAAUGGGUAAAGAAGCACCGGCUAACUACGUGCCAGCAGCCGCGGUGAUACGUAGGGUGCGAGCGUUGUCCGGAUUUAUUGGGCGUAAAGGGCUCGUAGGUGGUUGAUCGCGUCGGAAGUGUAAUCUUGGGGCUUAACCCUGAGCGUGCUUUCGAUACGGGUUGACUUGAGGAAGGUAGGGGAGAAUGGAAUUCCUGGUGGAGCGGUGGAAUGCGCAGAUAUCAGGAGGAACACCAGUGGCGAAGGCGGUUCUCUGGGCCUUUCCUGACGCUGAGGAGCGAAAGCGUGGGGAGCGAACAGGCUUAGAUACCCUGGUAGUCCACGCUGUAAACGGUGGGUACUAGGUGUGGGGUCCAUUCCACGGGUUCCGUGCCGUAGCUAACGCUUUAAGUACCCCGCCUGGGGAGUACGGCCGCAAGGCUAAAACUCAAAGGAAUUGACGGGGCCCCGCACAAGCGGCGGAGCAUGCGGAUUAAUUCGAUGCAACGCGUAGAACCUUACCUGGGUUUGACAAGGAUCGGGAGUGCUCAGAGAUGGGUGUGCCUCUUUUGGGGUCGGUUCACAGGUGGUGCAUGGCUGUCGUCAGCUCGUGUCGUGAGAUGUUGGGUUAAGUCCCGCAACGAGCGCAACCCUUGUUCACUGUUGCCAGCACGUUAUGGUGGGGACUCAGUGGAGACCGCCGGGGUCAACUCGGAGGAAGGUGGGGAUGACGUCAAGUCAUCAUGCCCCUUAUGUCCAGGGCUUCACGCAUGCUACAAUGGCUGGUACAGAGAGUGGCGAGCCUGUGAGGGUGAGCGAAUCUCGGAAAGCCGGUCUCAGUUCGGAUUGGGGUCUGCAACUCGACCUCAUGAAGUCGGAGUCGCUAGUAAUCGCAGAUCAGCAACGCUGCGGUGAAUACGUUCCCGGG
rnacentral:rRNA from 1 species